GUUUUGGAGUUUCUGCUGCUUUUUUCCACCUUAGCAGAAUUUGUGUGCUUUUUCACCAGCUUUUGUUCCAAAGCAUUUUUUGGCUUCUCUACAGAAGAAUUACCAACUGGAAGGUUAGAAUGAGGCUGAGGUACCUCUGCAGAAUUAUUUUGGACAGGCUGAAGUACUGGUUCUUCUGGUUUAAGACACACAGUGUCAGAAUUUACAGAAGCACCUGUGUAUACAACAGGUUUGACUUCAACCUCCCAGUCGUCAAACUGAUCCAUCAUUCCAGGAGGAAUAGGCUCAGGUAAAGGAAGAAGCUGCAGGUUACAUUUCUGAGCAAUUUU
rnacentral:lncRNA from 1 species